GACGGGGGGAUGCAAGUGUUAUCCGGAAUCACUGGGCGUAAAGCGUCUGUAGGUGGUCAAAUAAGUCAACUGUUAAAUCUUGAGGCUCAACCUCAAAAUCGCAGUCGAAACUAUUAGACUAGAGUAUAGUAGGGGUAAAGGGAAUUUCCAGUGGAGCGGUGAAAUGCGUAGAUAUUGGAAAGAACACCGAUGGCGAAGGCACUUUACUGGGCUAUUACUAACACUCAGAGACGAAAGCUAGGGUAGCAAAUGGG
rnacentral:rRNA from 1 species